rnacentral:rRNA from 1 species
UACGUAGGGGGCAAGCGUUAUCCGGAUUUACUGGGUGUAAAGGGAGCGUAGACGGUGUGGCAAGUCUGAUGUGAAAGGCAUGGGCUCAACCUGUGGACUGCAUUGGAAACUGUCAUACUUGAGUGCCGGAGGGGUAAGCGGAAUUCCUAGUGUAGCGGUGAAAUGCGUAGAUAUUAGGAGGAACACCAGUGGCGAAGGCGGCUUACUGGACGGUAACUGACGUUGAGGCUCGAAAGCGUGGGGAGCAAACAGGAUUAGAAACCCGACGGCUGACUGACU